ACGCUAUCACUCCUACGGGAGGCAGCAGUAAGGAAUAUUGGACAAGUGGGCAACCCUGAUCCAGCCAUCCCGCGUGUAGGAAGACUGCCCUAUGGGUUGUAAACUACUUUUAGAUAGGAAGAACGGCGUGUAUUAAUAUGCGUAUGACGGUACUAUCAGAAUAAGCACCGGCUAACUCCGUGCCAGCAGCCGCGGUAAUACGGAGGGUGCAAGCGUUAUCCGGAAUCACUGGGUUUAAAGGGUGCGUAGGCGGUCCGACAAGUCAGAGGUGAAAUGCACGAGCUUAACUGGUGAAUUGCCUUUUGAAACUGUCGAGCUAGAAUUAUGUUGAGGUCAGCGGAAUGAGUCAUGUAGCGGAUGAAAUGCAUAGAUUAUGACUUAUGAACACCAAUUGCGUAGGCAGCUGGCUGGGCAUAUAUUGACGCUGAGGCACAGAAAGCGUGGGGAGCGAACAGGAUUAGAUACCCUGGUAG
rnacentral:rRNA from 1 species